rnacentral:misc_RNA from 1 species
UUUCCGUAGGUGAACCUGCGGAAGGAUCAUUAGUGAAUAAUAGGACGUUCCAUUUAACUGGAAGUCCGAACUCUCACUUUCUAACCCUGUGCAUUUGUUUUGGCUAGUAGGAUGCUUGCGUCCGAACACCUCUUCAUUUACAAACACAAAGUCUAUGAAUGUUUAAUUUUAUAACAAAACAAAACUUUCAACAACGGAUCUCUUGGCUCUCGCAUCGAUGAAGAACGCAGC